UACGAAGGGGGCGAGCGUUGUUCGGAAUUACUGGGCGUAAAGGGCGCGUAGGCGGCGCUGCAAGUCGGGGGUGAAAGGCCUGGGCUCAACCUGGGAAUGGCCUCCGAGACUGUGGUGCUUGAGACCGGGAGAGGCGAGUGGAAUUCCCAGUGUAGAGGUGAAAUUCGUAGAUAUUGGGAAGAACACCAGUGGCGAAGGCGGCUCGCUGGACCGGAUCUGACGCUGAGGCGCGAAAGCGUGGGGAGCAAACAGG
rnacentral:rRNA from 1 species